GGAUUCCCCUAGUAACUGCGAGUGAAGCGGGAAAAGCUCAAAUUUAAAAUCUGACAGUUGUUUUGGCUGUCCGAGUUGUAAUCUAGAGAAGUGUCUACCCGCGCUGGACCGUGUACAAGUCUCCUGGAAUGGAGCAUCAUAGAGGGUGAGAAUCCCGUCUUUGACAUGGAUCUACCAGGGCUUUGUGGUGCACUCUCAAAGAGUCGAGUUGUUUGGGAAUGCAGCUCAAAAUGGGUGGUAAAUGCCAUCUAAAGCUAAAUAUUGGCGAGAGACCGAUAGCGAACAAGUACCGUGAGGGAAAGAUGAAAAGAACUUUGGAAAGAGAGUUAAACAGUACGUGAAAUUGCUGAAAGGGAAACGCUUGAAGUCAGUCGCAUCGACUGGAAAUCAACCUUGCUUUUGCAUGGUGUACUUUCUGGCUGAUGGGUCAGCAUCAAUUUUGAUUGCUGGAUAAAGGCUUGGGGAAUGUGGCAUCUUUGGAUGUGUUAUAGCCCCUGGCUGCAUACGGCAGUUGGGAUUGAGGAACUCAGCAUGCCGCAAGGCCGGGUCUUUUUGACCACAUAUAUGUGCUUAGGAUGCUGGCAUAAUGGCUUUAAUCGACCCGUCUUGAAACACGGACCAAGGAGUCUAACAUGCAUGUGAGUGUUUGGGUGGAAAACCCAUGCGCGCAAUGAAAGUGAAAGUUGAGAUCCCUGUCGUGGGGAGCAUCGACGCCCAGACCAGACCUUUUGUGACGGAUCUGCGGUAGAGCAUGUAUGUUGGGACCCGAAAGAUGGUGAACUAUGCCUGAAUAGGGUGAAGCCAGAGGAAACUCUGGUGGAGGCUCGUAGCGAUUCUGACGUGCAAAUCGAUCGUCAAAUUUGGGUAUAGGGGCGAAAGACUAAUCGA
rnacentral:rRNA from 1 species